CUGUGCCGGGCCGGGGCCGGGGCUCAGCUCGGUGCUGGCCCUCACAGGGAGCCCUGGUGCGAAAGGAGCGGUCGCUGGGAGCGCUGUGUGGGCAGAGCUUCUGGAAAGAUUUGGUGAAAACGAGCGCUUUAAAAAGCUGUUUGCAGUGAUGUGCUCAGUGACCCUGCUGAGGGACUGCAGGGUUUAUAUUCUGUGCUACUUCUAGACUGGUUUUCCAAAUGGAAUGCUCCUUCUGGAUGGGAAUCUGGCACACCUUCUAGCUUCCUUUCAGCUGACAUAACUAUCUCAGCAUCUUGAGGGAAGUGUGAGUAUGCUGAAGGUCUCAUGAGCACCCAUCAGAAAUGGAAUAAUUCCUGUCAUUUUAACUCUCCAAUCCUGGCUGCAAAAAUGUGGAGGUAUCUUUUGGGUCAUGUUGCAUUGAAAAUUAGAAGAAAUAGUGCUCACAACUCGCUUUUGG
rnacentral:lncRNA from 1 species